rnacentral:rRNA from 1 species
UACGUAGGGGGCAAGCGUUGUCCGGAUUUAUUGGGCGUAAAGAGCGUGUAGGCGGCCAGAUAGGUCUGUUGUGAAAACUCGAGGCUCAACCUCGAGACGCCGAUGGAAACCAUCUGGCUAGAGUCCGGAAGAGGAGAGUGGAAUUCCUGGUGUAGCGGUGGAAUGCGCAGAUAUCAGGAAGAACACCCGUGGCUAAGGCGGCUCUCUAGUACGGUACUGACGCUGAGACGCGAAAGCGUGGGGAGCGAACAGG